CGGGCGGUUUUUAGUAGGACCCGUCAAAACUGCUGGAAUUAAAAUCAUUUUUGCCGGUCGAGAAUUACCCGAUGAAUUAACACUCGGGAAUGCAGAGAUGAACCACAGCGUCAUUCAUGCUGUUCAGAAAUCUGGUCAGAUCUCAGUUGAUGCAACUUACAAUGCGAAUGAUGGUUUGACGAAAGUGAAACUGACACAGGAUGACGAAGAUGAAGAUGGUGAAUCUCAACAAUCAGGCAAGCAAAGUUUCUUCUUUGUUUAUUGUAAAACUUGCAAGAAACUAACACGAGGAAAAUUGCGAUGUCGAUGUUCAAAUUGCAAGGAAGGAAGCUUUGUUCUAUCACAGGGUCCAAAUGGUUGGGACGAUGUAUUGAUCAAAGGCCGCAUGCAGGGACCAUGUGAAUCCGAUAAUAACUGUCAGGGAACAACAGCUCAAUUGUUAUUUCAAAUGCGGGGAACAUCAUGGUAGAGAUAAACAAAUGCUGUUAUCAAUGUUGAAAUCUAACAUCAAAAAUAUUCCCUGCAUCACAUGCUCUGAAACAUCAUAAUGCGGUAGAAUGUUUUAAACUUGGUCAGCUUUGCAGCUCAAAUGGUAGAAAUUUAAUCCGUGAAUGUGACGUCAGGGUUGUGGUGAUUUCGGAACACCAAGAGGUUCUCGUACACACAAUGGUGUCGACAUAAUUUGCAAACCAGGGAGUUCUGUCAUGACACCAUUUGCUGCGAAGAUCUGACGAAAAUCACGUUCUUAUUCAAACAACAACAAACCAUAUAACAAUGGAUUGUAUAUUCAAGGAAGCGGAGAAGCCGAAGAUAUAAAAUGGAUAUUUCAGGUGGUCUUGGAAGAUCUGCUGGAAAGAUAUGGCGUGUUGGUCUGAUGGGGUUGAACAGUACAAAAGAUAAC
rnacentral:misc_RNA from 1 species